GGGCCCGGCGGCGGCGGCAUGGCGCGGAGCACGCUCUCCUCCCGCUUCCGCCGCCUCGACAUCGACCAGUACGACGAGAACCGCUUCGUGGAGGAGCCCGACGAGGCGGCGGCGGCGGCGGCCGAGACCGACGCCGGCCCCGAGGUGGAGGCGCUGCUGAGGCAAGGGGACGCGCUGCGAGCCUUCCACAGCGCCCUGCGGAGCUCUCCCGUCAACACCAAGAACCAGGCGAUGAAGGUGACCGGGGCCGGGGCGCGGGCAGGGCUGCCGGGGUCGCCGGGCAGCUUCGAAGCGACGGCGGCGUCGCCCGGAGAUGGAUCAGCAGCACCUGACAGCUCGCUGCUAACGAGCCAUACGGCGAGGCGCCGCGGCUUCUGCCUAGGCGAUCCCCGCGUGGCCGCCCCGUCCUUCUCCUCGCUCCCGAGACCCCAAGUGAAGAACGCUCGCCGGCUUGCUUGCAGAAAUAAGCCGGCCUUUAGCGUAGCCGCCCGCCCUCCGAACGCACCUCGUCGAACAACACCAGAAGUCUUGGGAUCGUUUCCAGCUUUGCUGGUUCUCAUGUUAUUCUCCUUUCCUUGUCUUCGCAGGAGCAGGCCCAGGGAACCAUGCUUAAAGUCCUCACGUCUUUUAAAAGCAGCGAAAUAGAACAAGCGGUGAAUUCCUUGGACAGAAAUGGCAUUGACUUGUUAAUGAAGUACAUUUAUAAAGGAUUUGAAAAGCCAACAGAAAAUAGCAGUGCAAUAUUACUUCAGUGGCAUGAAAAGGCAUUAGCAGUAGGUGGACUAGGUUCCAUAGUAAGAGUUCUUACAGCAAGAAAGACUGUUUAAAAGACUAUUAACUUGAACCAAGACGACGCUCAGUUUUGGACUCAGAAGAAGGAAUUAGCUGAAAUGACGCUGGUCCAUCUUUAUUAGAGAUUGCAAUCUACUGAAAUACUAUGGAAACCUCCUCUUGGAAUGCUUUUAACCUUAAAGGUGGGGGAAGAGUAAAGGUAUUCCUGCAUAUUCCGACUAUCAAAUACAGGAGCCAAGACAUUCUCCUGAUCCCUUCUUUAAAAGGCAGAGAGACGGCACACUCCUGCCUCCUAUUACUGUAAGAGAACAGGUAUUUUUCAGAUGCUGCUUUAUCGAAGUGUGGUGAUACAAGAUCCUGUGUGUACUGCUUAUUUAAGAGGUAGCUAUGUCCUUGGCAGAUGCAAGAUCCCGACAGCUUAUGGGCAGGAGAAGUGUUCAUUAGAAUGGCGGUUUUGUACGUACGGUUGAAGGACUAGUUGGACUAUGGGGUUGGUUUCAGUGUAAAGUGCCUGCUGCAUCAAUAAAGUUCUUGGAUCGCAUGAGUGAAGUAAUUUAUUUUUCACUAAAUUGUAAGUCUGACACUUACUGAAAAGCAGGCCAGCAGUAUGCCAAUUCUAAGCUAAGUGUCCACAUUUGUAUGAAUGCUCUUAACUCCAACUAUUUACAGAAUUUGUCCUAUGCUGGCUGGAGUGAGACCAAGCUCAGCUGUUCCAAUCAAGACUUCUAAGAUGCAGCGAGUAUAAUGCAUAAUCACCCAUGAUUUGGUGUUUAUAUUCUUGUCCAUCCUAGAAAGUCAAGAAAAUACUGCAGAAUCUAUUAUUUAUGUAUUAGUGCGUCCUCACCUUCUGAAGGACUUACUUAAGUACAGCAAAAGGAGCUGCUUCAAGUCAGUAUGCACAGAUGAUUUGUCCCAACAGAGCACAACUACUCAAAACCAUUGCUCUCUCCACCGUCAGUUACAGCACCCUUGGCAAGAGCAGUGAGGUACGGCAUCCCUCUGGGUCUUGGUUGGUGGUGUGCGCCCUGAGUCUGGCAGGGUUAUCUGCCAGGAAGGAGCCUUCCUUUUGGCACAAAUGAGCAUACUCCAAAUGAAGCAGCUGCUCAAGGAGGCCCCGCG